rnacentral:rRNA from 1 species
GAUGAACGCUGGCGGCGUGCUUAACACAUGCAAGUCGAACGAAGCACCUUGGAAUGCGUCUUCGGACAAGUGAAUUGGUGACUUAGUGGCGGACGGGUGAGUAACGCGUGGGUAACCUGCCUCACACAGGGGGAUAACAGUUAGAAAUGACUGCUAAAACCGCAUAACAUGGCGAGACCGCAUGACCUUGCCAUCAAAUACUUAUAGGUGUGAGAUGGGCCCGCGUCUGAUUAGCUAGUUGGUGAGGUAAUGGCUCACCAAGGCGACGAUCAGUAGCCGGCUUGAGAGAGUUAACGGCCACAUUGGGACUGAGACACGGCCCAAACUCCUACGGGAGGCAGCAGUGGGGGAUAUUGGACAAUGGGGGAAACCCUGAUCCAGCGACGCCGCGUGAGUGGAGAAGUAUUUCGGUAUGUAAAGCUCUAUCAGCAGGGAAGAAAAAUAACCAAAUUGACUGUACCUGACUAAGAAGCCCCGGCUAACUACGUGCCAGCAGCCGCCGUAAAAC